GACGAACGCUGGCGGCGUGCUUAACACAUGCAAGUCGAACGGUGAAGGGACCGGUUUUUGCUGGUUCUGGAUGAGUGGCGAACGGGUGAGUAACACGUGAGUAACCUGCCCCCUUCUUCUGGAUAACCGCAUGAAAGUGUGGCUAAUACGGGAUAUUCUGCGCCUGCUGCAUGGUGGGUGCGGGAAAGAUAUUGUUUCGGUGGGGGAUGGGCUCGCGGCCUAUCAGCUUGUUGGUGGGGUGAUGGCCUACCAAGGCGGUGACGGGUAGCCGGCCUGAGAGGGUGGACGGUCACACUGGGACUGAGACACGGCCCAGACUCCUACGGGAGGCAGCAGUGGGGAAUAUUGCACAAUGGGCGCAAGCCUGAUGCAGCGACGCCGCGUGAGGGAUGGAGGCCUUCGGGUUGUAAACCUCUUUCGCCAGUGAAGCAGGCCUGUCCCUUUUGUGGGUGGGUUGACGGUAGCUGGAGAAGAAGCGCCGGCUAACUACGUG
rnacentral:rRNA from 1 species